UUGCUGGGUCACAGUGAGGCGGCUCCGCGCAGGCGCAGCCGGGCGGGCGAGGAGCGGGGAAGCUGACUCAGGGCUGCGGCCGGGGUCCUGCGGGGUAGGAGCGCGAGGCCGGCCUGAGGGAGGAGGCCUAGCGACCCAUCCGGCGCCUCCCGCCCCGGGCACCCGCCCGCGGCCGCGCAUCCUGCGGGCCCCAGGAGGCCUCCAUCUCAAAACAACGUGUUUUUAGAGAACUCAAGGGCUGUGAAAAGAGCAGGACCUCACCAGCUGCACGGCGGUGGUGACUGGCUCCAUCUUGCUGUCCCUCCCAAUCACACAACAUCUCCCCUUGAAGGCUCUGCCCAGGCCCGGACUCCCACCUUUCAAGAUGUCUGGAUCAGUGCAGGACCUCCUCCUUGGCCACAUCGCUCUCCUUGGACUGGUUCGUUAACCCUGUUUUACCCACAUUUUCUUUUUUUUUCUUUUUCUUUUUUUUUUUUUUUCUGAGACAGAGUUUCAUUCUUGUUGCCCAGGCUGGAGUGCAAUGACUCGGUCUCGGCUCAUUGCAACCUCCGCCUUGCAGGUUCAAGUGAUUCUCCCACCUCAGCCUCCCAAGUAGGAUUACAGGUACACACCACCACGCACAGCUAAUUGUUUUGUAUUUUAGGAAGAGAUGGGGUUUCAUCAUGUUAGCCAGGCUGGUCAGGUGAUCCAUCCGCCUUGGCCUCCCCAAGUGCUGGGAUUACAGGCGUGAGGCACUGUGCCCGGCCUGCCCCCCUUUUCUCUUGAUGCACAUGACAGCCUUCUUGCAAUCAAGAAACUACGUGUGGCCAGGAUCUCAUCCACUAUCACAGUUUCAGCUUUCCCCAAACUGGAAUGUGUCUUUGCAGACGCCCAUCCUUAUUAAAGGGCAAAGACUUCUCAUACACCUAGGAUGGAUCUUAUAUUCUUGGCGGGACUGCAGAGAAGGUGCCGUGUCCUGAGUCCUCAUGUCAGGGCACAGGCUUCCAGCCAGUUCUACCUGGGUUAUGUUUAUCUCAAUUCCCUGGUGGUAUUGGUGUCUGCUGGGUUUUGCCAGAAUGAAGACACCGUGUUUUCAUUUGUCAGUUGAUUCGUAUUUUCCAGGAAGACAUUCUGAGAUUACAGCAUUGUCUUAGUCAAGGUGCUGCAGAAGGACAGAACUAAUAGGAUAUAUGUACAUAUGAAAGAAAGUUUAUGAAGAACUGGCUCACACCAUCACAAGGCAAAGUCCCAUGACAGGCCAUCUGCAAGCUGAGGAGCGAGGAAGCCAGCAGUGGCUCAGCCGGAGUCCAACAGCCUCAAACGGAAUCCAACAGUUCAGGCUUCAGUCUGUGGCCAAAUGCCCAGAGACCCCGGAAAGCUACUGGUGUUAGUCCCAGAGCCGGAAGGCCAAAGAACCUGGAGUGUGAUGUCCAAGGGCAGGAGGAAUGGACAGAAGCAUCCAGCAUGGGGUAAAGACGAAAGCCAGAAGACUCAGCAAGCUAGCUUACCUACUUUCUUCUGCCUGCCUUGUUCUAGCCGCGCUGGCAGCCGGUUGGAGGGUGCCCACCCCCACUGAGGGUGGAUCUUCCUCUCCUAGUCCACUGACUCAAAUUUCAGUCUCUCUGGGAGCACCAUCACACCAGAAACAAUACCAGCCAUCUAGCCACCCUUCAGUUCACCAUCACAACCAUUGUCUUAUUCAUGAAACUUCUGCAGACCCACCUUAACCUCCAUCGGUGACUUCUACCUGAAGCCCUCUGAUUGUUGCCCAGUGGUGCUUUUUAAAAUAAUUUCCAUAGUUUCUUCUACACCUUUAGUUGGCAUUCUACUGUAAAGGAGAGAUUUUAUUUUCUUACUCAUUUAUUUGUUAGUUUAUAGUCACCACCAUAUGGAUGCAGAGUUCUGUCUCAUUCACUGGGAAGUAUUCUAUUGCAGUCAUGAUUUAUUUUGAUGUUCACAUCCCAGAGUUGGUGAGUGAGCGCCCCUUCACGCUGGCUCCCGAGUGCUGACGUGUCCCCGUCCUUCUCUGCACUUUUCCUUACCUCCUGGCCUCAGAUAUUCCAGGGUCAUUUGUUCUCUCCCUGCUCCAACCCUGCAGUCAGCCAUCUCCCUAGGGACGUUGGUUCCUUUAUGGAAGGUGGCAUUUAGAAGCCAGGAUUUGGGCUGAGCACUGUGGCUCAUGCUUGUAAUCCCAGCACUUGGGGAGGCCGAAGUGGGCGGAUCGCUGGAGGCCAAGAGUCUGAGACCAGCCUGGCUAACAUGGUGAAACCCUUCCCCGUCUCUACUACAAAUAAAAAAUUAGCUGGGUGUGUUGGCACGUGCCUGUAAUCCCAGUUACUCAGGAGGCUGAAGCACCAGAAUCUCUUGAACCCAGGAGGCCGAGGUUGCAGUGAGCCAAGAUUGCACCACUGCACUACAGCUUGGGUGACAGCGCGAGACACCGUCUCAAAAAGGAUAAUAAUUUAAAAAACAGCAGGAUUUGGGUGAGCAGUGCGCUCAUUGCUUCUGGGCUCUCUCGGUGGACAUAGGCUAGGAAUGUAAGAUGUAUGUGCCUGUGUAUAUACACACGUCUGUAGCUAUGUCUAUGUUGCAUACAUGUGUUUUUCCAAAAACCAAAUCCAU
rnacentral:lncRNA from 10 species